rnacentral:rRNA from 1 species
UACAGAGGUCCCAAGCGUUGUUCGGAUUCACUGGGCGUAAAGGGUGCGUAGGUGGCAGGGUAAGUUUGAUGUGAAAUCUCCGAGCUUAACUCGGAAACUGCAUUGAAUACUAUCUUGCUUGAGGGUUGGAGGGGGGACUGGAAUUCUCGGUGUAGCAGUGAAAUGCGUAGAUAUCGAGAGGAAUACCAGUGGCGAAGGCGAGUCCCUGGACAACUCCUGACACUGAGGCACGAAAGCUAGGGGAGCAAACAGG